UGCUGAAUGAAUAAAUGGAUGGAUAAAUACUA
rnacentral:piRNA from 1 species